rnacentral:rRNA from 1 species
AAGGCGAUGAUGCAUAGCCGAGUUGAGAGACUGAUCGGCCACAUUGGGACUGAGACACGGCCCAAAUCCUACGGGAGGCAGCAGUAGGGAAUCUUCCACAAUGGACGCAAGUCUGAUGGAGCAACGCCGCGUGAGUGAAGAAGGUUUUCGGAUCGUAAAGCUCUGUUGUGGUGAAGAAGGAUAGAGGUAGUAACUGGCCUUAUUGACGGUAAUCAACCAGAAAGUCACGGGCUAACUACGUGCCAGCAGCCGCGGUAAAU